rnacentral:lncRNA from 1 species
UGAGGACAGCAGGUGGGAGCUUUCUAAGCCAGACAAAGGAGACCUGACAAGAAACUGCAGUGAAAGGACAAACCCAAGGCAAAGGAAUGUCCGGUCACCUCCUUCCCUGGAGCAGGCAGCUGAGAUCUGCAUAGACAGGAAGCAUUUUGCAAGACUCAACACCUGGAGCAGUGCUAACCAGGUCUCACUGCCUCAGGUAGAACUCCAUUUGCAGAGCAUUCCUGCUCCAGGUGGGCAGCCCUGAUGUCGGCCAAGCUCUACGUGCUCAUCAGCUGGCCUGAUGGCAGCCGCGUCAUCAGCAUGGAGAACAUCAAGGAGCCCCGCAAGCCCUUCCAUCUCUAUGCUGUGGGUGAGCAGGUGCUGGCCCGCUGCCCCGGCUUCAGUGGGCUUUACUGGGGUAUUGUGGAAGGCAUAAGUGAGCAUAAAGAUGCUUUGGAGAAGAAGCUGCUGGAAGACAGACAACUCCUGGAGAAGUUAAAAGACGAACCAGCUGUCCAUAGUAUGAUGCCACCCCAGCCAAAAAAAUCCAGGAAAACCUUCCCAAAAUGGACCCAGGUGAAUGCAUGCAGGAAAUACCACACAGACAGGACUUACUCUGGGAAGCCACUGCUGCAGGCAGCUGAGCCUGGCCUGCCCUGCAGUGCUGGCAGCCCCUCCAUCACCAAGGAGAGAUGUUCCCUGGGGCCACCCCAUCCCACCAGCACCUUCACCCCCCCAGCCACUUUUGUCAGCCUGGCUGUGCCAGGAACUUCCCAGAGUGAGGAGGACAGAGCUGGCACCACUACCAAAGAUUACGUUGCCCUGGCAAUGAAGAGGAAGUCAGAUGGCAUCUUGUCCCAAUGUCAGCAACGCAUCUGUCUGAACAGCUGUGAAGACGAAAAGCUGGACACUGUGCAGGAGAUGGAUGGCUUUGAGAGAGUGCAGAAAAAAUUUGCUCCCGGUGAAAUGGAAAGGGAGAAGAUAGAGCAGCUGGAAAGGAUGGUCUCAGACCUCCAACAGGACGUUCUCUCUCUGAAGAAGAAGGUCCAGAGGCUGGAAUCCCUGUCCUUCCAGGAGGAGCCCCACAGGCAGCCCUGCGAGGUGGUGGAGCUCUUCAAUGGCUACACCAAGGAACAGCUCCGUGAAGCAAUUCGCUUUGACCAGAAGAUCAGCACUGCCUGCAAGACGCUGCUCUACAAGCUCUUCACGUCUGACUACAUCCAGAGCCACUCCAUCACGGGGCGCAGAGGCAACACUUUCCGAGAGGCAAAGCCCAUGAUGGAUGAACGCUGCAUCAAAAUCAUCAGGGUGCUGCUGAAACAGAAGUUUGGGGACCAUCUNNNNNNNNNNNNNNNNNNNNGGAGAAGAUACAAAACGUGCAGAAAGCUCUGA